AGCGAACGCUGGCGGCAGGCCUAACACAUGCAAGUCGAACGGACCCUUCGGGGUUAGUGGCGGACGGGUGAGUAACACGUGGGAACGUGCCUUUAGGUUCGGAAUAGCUCCUGGAAACGGGUGGUAAUGCCGAAUGUGCCCUUCGGGGGAAAGAUUUAUCGCCUUUAGAGCGGCCCGCGUCUGAUUAGCUAGUUGGUGAGGUAAUGGCCCACCAAGGCGACGAACAGUAGCUGGUCUGAGAGGAUGACCAGCCACAUUGGGACUGAGAAACGGCCAAAACUCCUACGGGAGGCAGCAGUGGGGAAUCUUGCGCAAUAGGGGAAAGCCUGACGCAGCCAUGCCGCGUGGAUGAUGAAGGUCUUAGGAUUGUAAAAUCCUUUCACCGGAGAAGAUAAUGACUGUUGCCGAAGAAGAAGCCCCGGCUAACUUCGUGCCAGCCGCCGCCGUAAGAC
rnacentral:rRNA from 1 species